AUUGGAGGGCAAGUCUGGUGCCAGCAGCCGCGGUAAUUCCAGCUCCAAUAGCGUAUAUUAAAGUUGUUGCAGUUAAAAAGCUCGUAGUUGGAUUUCUGUUAAUAAUUUAUAUAUAAUAUUUAACAUAUUUAUAUAAUAUUAACAUAAUUCAUAUUACUAUUUAUAGUAUAUGAAACUUUACUUUGAGAAAAUUAGAGUGCUUAAAGCAGGCUUUUGCCUUGAAUACUAGAGCAUGGAAUAAUAUUAAAGAUUUUUAUCUUUCUUAUUGGUUCUAAGAUAGAAAUAAUGAUUAAUAGGGACAGUUGGGGGCAUUUGUAUUUAACAGUUAGAGGUGAAAUUCUUAGAUUUGUUAAAGACAAACUAAUGCGAAAGCAUUUGCCAAGGAUGUUUUCAUUAAUCAAGAACGAAAGUUAGGGGAUCGAAGACGAUCAGAUACCGUCGUAGUCUUAACCAUAAACUAUGCC
rnacentral:rRNA from 1 species